UACGGAGGAUCCGAGCGUUAUCCGGAUUUAUUGGGUUUAAAGGGUGCGUAGGCGGCUUAUUAAGUCAGCGGUGAAAGCCUGGAGCUUAACUCCAGAACUGCCAUUGAUACUGAUGAGCUUGAGUAUAGUUGAGGUGGGCGGAAUGUGUCAUGUAGCGGUGAAAUGCUUAGAUAUGACACAGAACACCGAUUGCGAAGGCAGCUCGCUAAACUAUAACUGACGCUGAGGCACGAAAGCGUGGGUAGCAAACAGG
rnacentral:rRNA from 1 species